rnacentral:rRNA from 1 species
AACGAACGCUGGCGGCAGGCUUAACACAUGCAAGUCGAGCGCCCCGCAAGGGGAGCGGCAGACGGGUGAGUAACACGUGGGAAUCUACCCAUCUCUACGGAAUAACGCAUGGAAACGUGUGCUAAUACCGUAUACGUCCUUCGGGAGAAAGAUUUAUCGGAGAUGGAUGAGCCCGCGUUGGAUUAGCUAGUUGGUGGGGUAAAGGCCUACCAAGGCGACGAUCCAUAGCUGGGCUGAGAGGAUGAUCAGCCACCCUGGGACUGAGACACGGCCCAGACUCCUACGGGAGGCAGCAGGGGGGAAUAUUGGACAAUGGGCGCAAGCCUGAUCCAGCCAUGCCGCGUGAGUGAUGAAGGCCCUAGGGUUGUAAAGCUCUUUCACCGGUGAAGAUAAUGACGGUAACCGGAGAAGAAGCCCCGGCUAACUUCGUGCCAGCAGCCGCCGUAACAC